rnacentral:rRNA from 1 species
UUUAUUGAGAGUUUGAUCCUGGCUCAGGACGAACGUUGGCGGCAUGUCUAAGGCAUGCAAGUCGUACGAUCUGUUGUUCUUCGGAGUAACAGAUAGUGGCAAACGGGAGCGUAACACAUUGGUAACCUACCUCGAAGCCGUGAAUAAUUCACUGAAAAGUGGACUAAUACACGAUAUGGAUGGGGGGACGAAAGUCAUUCCCAUUGAAAGCUUCGGCACUUCGAGAGGGGCCUAUGUCCUAUCAGCUUGUUGGUGAGGUAAAAGCUCACCAAGGCUACGACGGGUACCGGGCGUGAGAGCGUGGCCCGGCUCACUGGGACUGAGACAC